CAAUGUUUUCAUAUCUUUAUACUAUAUUUUCAACAAGUGUUACUUAAACAGUGCAUUAUGUUAUUCCACGAGUGUUAAACAGUGUGCAGUUAGCUGGUUCAUUGUAGCUGAUUUAAUACAAGGGGUGAUUUACAAAUGGUAAAUAAACUCUCUCUGCUGGCAGUCAGGUUAGUGAGCAUGUUAGUAUUAAUAUUUUAUUAUUGUCACUCCAGCCCGUAUAAUCCCGCAGAUGUAGUACUAUUAAAUUACACAUUAGGUCACUGUUACGUUAAUACAAUUUUUAUUAUGACCUCAUAACUUUUGUGCGUAAACUAUGUUUAAUUUAUUGUAUGCUUAAUACAUUCAUGUUUUCUUUUUCCAAGGAUGUUUAGCCAGCCAUAUUUACCUCAAUUUUUACAUUUUUCAAAAAGUGCUAUUUAAACAGUGCGUUAAGUUGUUUCGCGAGUGUUAAACAGUGUGCAGUUAGCUGGUUCAUCGUAGCUGAUUUAAUGCAAGGAUUGUUGCCUUCAGUGGGGGUGAUUUACAAAUGGUAAAUAAACUCUCACUGCUGGC